rnacentral:tRNA from 1 species
CGCGGGAUAGUGUAAUGGCAAACAUUCUGGGCUCAUUCCUCAGAGAUAUCGGUUCGAUUCCGAUUCCCGCAA